AGAACGAACGCUGGCGGCAUGCCUAAUACAUGCAAGUCGAACGAACUCUUCGGAGUUAGUGGCGCACGGGUGCGUAACGCGUGGGAAUCUGCCCUUGGGUUCGGAAUAACAGUUGGAAACGACUGCUAAUACCGGAUGAUGACGAAAGUCCAAAGAUUUAUCGCCCAGGGAUGAGCCCGCGUAGGAUUAGCUAGUUGGUGAGGUAAAGGCUCACCAAGGCGACGAUCCUUAGCUGGUCUGAGAGGAUGAUCAGCCACACUGGGACUGAGACACGGCCCAGACUCCUACGGGAGGCAGCAGUAGGGAAUAUUGGACAAUGGGCGAAAGCCUGAUCCAGCAAUGCCGCGUGAGUGAUGAAGGCCUUAGGUUGUAAAGCUCUUUACCCGAGAUGAUAAUGACAGUAUCGGAAGAAUAACGCCCGGACUAACCUCCGUGCCACGCAGCCCGC
rnacentral:rRNA from 1 species